rnacentral:rRNA from 1 species
UAGGGAAUCUUCCACAAUGGACGCAAGUCUGAUGGAGCAACGCCGCGUGAGUGAAGAAGGUUUUCGGAUCGUAAAGCUCUGUUGUUGGUGAAGAAGGAUAGAGGCAGUAACUGGUCUUUAUUUGACGGUAAUCAACCAGAAAGUCACGGCUAACUACGUGCCAGCAGCCGCGGUAAUACGUAGGUGGCAAGCGUUGUCCGGAUUUAUUGGGCGUAAAGCGAGCGCAGGCGGAAUGAUAAGUCUGAUGUGAAAGCCCACGGCUCAACCGUGGAACUGCAUCGGAAACUGUCAUUCUUGAGUGCAGAAGAGGAGAGUGGAAUUCCAUGUGUAGCGGUGGAAUGCGUAGAUAUAUGGAAGAACACCAGUGGCGAAGGCGGCUCUCUGGUCUGCAACUGACGCUGAGGCUCGAGAGCAUGGGUAGCGAACAGG